rnacentral:misc_RNA from 1 species
UUUCCGUAGGUGAACCUGCGGAAGGAUCAUUACCGAGUGAGGGCCCUCUGGGUCCAACCUCCCACCCGUGUUUAUCGUACCUUGUUGCUUCGGCGGGCCCGCCUCACGGCCGCCGGGGGGCACCCGCCCCCGGGCCCGCGCCCGCCGAAGACACCAUUGAACGCUGUCUGAAGACUGCAGUCUGAGCAUCUUAGCUAAAUCAGUUAAAACUUUCAACAACGGAUCUCUUGGUUCCG